UUGAACGCUGGCGGCAGGCCUAACACAUGCAAGUCGAGCGGUAGCACAGAGAGCUUGCUCUCGGGUGACGAGCGGCGGACGGGUGAGUAAUGUCUGGGAAACUGCCUGAUGGAGGGGGAUAACUACUGGAAACGGUAGCUAAUACCGCAUAACGUCGCAAGACCAAAGUGGGGGACCUUCGGGCCUCAUGCCAUCAGAUGUGCCCAGAUGGGAUUAGCUAGUAGGUGGGGUAACGGCUCACCUAGGCGACGAUCCCUAGCUGGUCUGAGAGGAUGACCAGCCACACUGGAACUGAGACACGGUCCAGACUCCUACGGGAGGCAGCAGUGGGGAAUAUUGCACAAUGGGCGCAAGCCUGAUGCAGCCAUGCCGCGUGUGUGAAGAAGGCCUUCGGGUUGUAAAGCACUUUCAGCGGGGAGGAAGGCGAUAAGGUUAAUAACCUCAUCGAUUGACGUUACCCGCAGAAGAAGCACCGGCUAACUCCGUGCCAGCAGCCGCGGUAAUACGGAGGGUGCAAGCGUUAAUCGGAAUUACUGGGCGUAAAGCGCACGCAGGCGGUCUGUCAAGUCGGAUGUGAAAUCCCCGGGCUCAACCUGGGAACUGCAUUCGAAACUGGCAGGCUAGAGUCUUGUAGAGGGGGGUAGAAUUCCAGGUGUAGCGGUGAAAUGCGUAGAGAUCUGGAGGAAUACCGGUGGCGAAGGCGGCCCCCUGGACAAAGACUGACGCUCAGGUGCGAAAGCGUGGGGAGCAAACAGGAUUAGAUACCCUGGUAGUCCACGCCGUAAACGAUGUCGAUUUGGAGGUUGUGCCCUUGAGGCGUGGCUUCCGGAGCUAACGCGUUAAAUCGACCGCCUGGGGAGUACGGCCGCAAGGUUAAAACUCAAAUGAAUUGACGGGGGCCCGCACAAGCGGUGGAGCAUGUGGUUUAAUUCGAUGCAACGCGAAGAACCUUACCUGGUCUUGACAUCCACAGAACUUUCCAGAGAUGGAUUGGUGCCUUCGGGAACUGUGAGACAGGUGCUGCAUGGCUGUCGUCAGCUCGUGUUGUGAAAUGUUGGGUUAAGUCCCGCAACGAGCGCAACCCUUAUCCUUUGUUGCCAGCGGUUCGGCCGGGAACUCAAAGGAGACUGCCAGUGAUAAACUGGAGGAAGGUGGGGAUGACGUCAAGUCAUCAUGGCCCUUACGACCAGGGCUACACACGUGCUACAAUGGCAUAUACAAAGAGAAGCGACCUCGCGAGAGCAAGCGGACCUCAUAAAGUAUGUCGUAGUCCGGAUUGGAGUCUGCAACUCGACUCCAUGAAGUCGGAAUCGCUAGUAAUCGUAGAUCAGAAUGCUACGGUGAAUACGUUCCCGGGCCUUGUACACACCGCCCGUCACACCAUGGGAGUGGGUUGCAAAAGAAGUAGGUAGCUUAACCUUCGGGAGGGCGCUUACCACUUUGUGAUUCAUGACUGGGGUG
rnacentral:rRNA from 1 species